GCAGGAGCUGGAGGACGUCCAGGGUGACAUCACCGGCAUCGUGGCCGACAGCCUGCAGCAGGCGGCCGACCUCGUCACCAGCAAGACGGUGGAGCGGAGCCGGCGGUAUGAGUCGCUCUGCUCGCUGUGCCGUGGCGUCAGCGGGCGGGCCGACGUGACGUCACUGGUGCGUCACGCCGAGACACUGCCCGAAUGGACGUCGGCCUCGGUCGGCCGGCCCGCCGUCGCAGCCUUUCUGCCGCCCAAGCCGCCGGCUGACCCGAAACUGGCAGCUACGCAGGACGGGGCGGUGGCCGUGACCCAGCUACAGAACGAGCUUGUGCUGGACCGCCUGGCGUCGCUCUCGC